AUUGAACGCUGGCGGCAGGCUUAACACAUGCAAGUCGAACGGUAACAUAAAGAAGCUUGCUUCUUUGAUGACCAGUGGCGGACGGGUGAGUAAUGCUUGGGAAUCUAGCUUAUGGAGGGGGAUAACUACGGGAAACUGUAGCUAAUACCGCGUAAUAUCGAAAGAUUAAAGUGUGGGACCUUCGGGCCACAUGCCAUAGGAUGAGCCCAAGUGGGAUUAGGUAGUUGUUAAGGUAAAGGCUCACCAAGCCGACAAUCUGUUGCGGGUCGGAGAGGAUGACCAGCCCCCCUGGGAUUUGACACGGCCAGCCCCCUACGGGGGGCUCAGGGGGGGUAGCGGGCAUGUGGUCAACCCUUACCCUCCUGGCCGCGGAGGUAGAAGCCGCCGGUUUGUUGAAGUUUCUGCGCGGGGUGGGGUGGUGUAAGAGUUAGUUAUGGCGGUUUUCAUGGAAUGGCGCUAGCCCGUGCCCCCCCUGUUUUUUGUAGGGCUUAAUUCUCUUGUACUGUGCUUGUGUUGCGUUUGUUUUGUUUUUUGUGGAACCGCGUCUGGUCUUGAAAGUUGUGCGGUGUGCGUUUGAGCCCUGUGUCGAGUGAUUUCUACCUUUGUGGGUUUGUGUAGAGUGUUUUUUAUGGGGGGGGGGCCGUGUGGGGGGUAUGCCGCGUGGAGAGUGGGUUAUGCUGUAAUGAUGUAUUUGUGAGUGUUGUUUGCUGGUGUGGGUGCUGUGUGGGUAAACACAACAAUGAUGAUGUCUUUGUGUUAGGUGUAUUGAAUCAUCUGCCUGGUCCCCCGCCCCCCGCUGGUGUUGUGGUGUUGAUCGUGCUGGUGUGAUUGUGCCUGUCGGUUUGUUGUGCGUGUGUGUGGUGAGCAUUGAAGAUGUAUGUGUGUGUGUGUGUGUGUGUGGUGGCGGGUGUUGUGUGAGGUUGGUGUGGGCCUGUAGGUGAUGGUGUGUGUGUGUGUCUGGUGUGAGUUGUGCGUGUGUGUGGGUGUGUUGGUGGCAGUGCUAGUCGUGUGUGUGUGAUUGUG
rnacentral:rRNA from 1 species